rnacentral:lncRNA from 1 species
ACUACCAGAUUGUAUUAAUUCCUAGAAAUGAAACAAAGCAUCUUGGCUCACUACAACCUCUGCUUCCUGGAUUCAGGCAAAGCGUGGGAAUGGAGGAUGAGAGAUAGUCAAUUUUCAGAAUAAGAUGUUCUACCAAGAUGUAAAGAGGGGAAAAAAAGUAACUUUCAACAGCUAGGCAAGAACUGCCACAAGCAGUAGUCGAAAAAAUCAACGGCAUGGUUUCCUAAUGUGGUCUUGGAUUCAGCAAGAAAAUACUACAGAGAGAAAACUGCAGGAGUCCCUAUUUUGUCCCCUCAAAAUGAAUUAAAUGGUCUAGUGGAAGCUGAAGGACUCUGAAGAUGGCCAAGUUACAGAUCUCUUAAAAAAUCCAAUAUGAUGAUGCCCAUUUACAAAAUUUUAUGAUGAGAAAAUUAACUUUAAAACUCUUUUACAACUCUACCAAAUGUAAGAAAUAUAUGUCCCUAAGAAGGCAGAAAAAGAGAAGCAGAUGAAAGGAAAUAGAAUUUUCUAUUUUCUCCUCACCAUGUAAGCCUCAAAUAAAAAGCAUCUAACAAUU